GCGAACGCUGGCGGCAUGCCUAACCAUGCAAGUCGUACGGAGAGUGGGGCAACUCACUCUCAGUGGCAAACGGGUGAGUAACCUCCUGAAUAACCUGCCUUUGAGAAGGGGAUAACUGUCCGAAAGGAUAGCUAAUACCCUAUAUUGCCUUUUGUCACUAAGGCAAAAGGUGAAAGCGAGGCUGUCAAAGGCUUCGGCUCAAAGAGGGGUUCGCGUCCUAUCAGGUAGUUGGUGGGGUAAUGGCCUACCAAGCCAAUGACGGGUAGCUGGUCUUAGAGGAUGAUCAGCCACAGUGGGACUGAGACACGGCCCGCACCCCUACGGGGGGCAGCAGUGGGGAAUCGUGGGCAAUGGGCGCAAGCCUGACCCCGCAAUGCCGCGUGAGGGAAGAAGCCCUUCGGGGUGUAAACCUCUGUCAGAUGGGAAGAUGAGACUAGGGGCUAAUACCUCCUGGUCUUGACGGGACCAUCAGAGGAAGGGACGGCUAACUACGUGCCAGCAGCCGCGGUAAU
rnacentral:rRNA from 1 species